UACAGAGGUCUCAAGCGUUGUUCGGAUUCAUUGGGCGUAAAGGGUGUGUAGGUGGCGCCGUAAGUCGGGUGUGAAAUUUCGGAGCUUAACUCCGAAACUGCAUUCGAUACUGCGGUGCUUGAGGACUGGAGAGGAGACUGGAAUUCAUGGUGUAGCAGUGAAAUGCGCAGAUAUCAGGAGGAACACCAAUGGCGAAGGCAGCUCGCUGGGACGGUACUGACGCUGAGACGCGAAAGCGUGGGGAGCAAACAGG
rnacentral:rRNA from 1 species